rnacentral:rRNA from 1 species
GACGUAGGGCGCGAGCGUUGUCCGGAUUUAUUGGGCGUAAAGAGCUCGUAGGCGGCUUGUCGCGUCGACUGUGAAAACCCGUGGCUCAACCAUGUGGUCUGCAGUCGAUACGGGCAGGCUAGAAUUCGGUAGGGGAGACUGGAAUUCCUGGUGUAGCGGUGAAAUGCGCAGAUAUCGGGAGGAACACCAGUGGCGAAGGCGACUUUCUGGCCUGUUCUUGACGCUGAGGCGCGAAAGCUAGGGGAGCAAACGGG